rnacentral:rRNA from 1 species
AGGAUGAACGCUGGCGGCGUGCCUAAACAUGCAAGUCAUACGGGCUACCUUCGGGUAGCCAGUGGCAAACGGGUGAGUAACACGUGGGAACGCGCCUUGGGGUGGGGAAUAACGCUGAGAAAUCAGUGCUAAUACCGCAUAUGGUCUAACGACUAAAGCAGCAAUGCGCCCCGAGAGCGGCCCGCGACCGAUUAGCUAGUUGGUGGGGUAAUGGCCUACCAAGGCGGUGAUCGGUAGCUGGUCUGAGAGGAUGGUCAGCCACACUGGGACUGCGAACGGCCCAGACUCCUACGGGAGGCAGCAGUGAGGAAUUUUCGUCAAUGGGGGCAACCCUGAACGAGCAACGCCGCGUGCAGGAGAAGGUUUUCGGAUCGUAAACUGCUUUUCUCGGGGAAGAGAAUGGACGGUACCCGAGGAAUCAGCCCCGACUAACUACGUGCCAGCAGCCGC